rnacentral:rRNA from 1 species
UACGGAGGGUGCGAGCGUUGUCCGGAAUCACUGGGCGUAAAGGGCGCGUAGGCGGCGCGGGAAGUCAUCGGUGAAAGUUCAGGGCUCAACUCUGAAUCGGCCGGUGAUACUCUCGUGCUUGAGCACUGUAGAGGCAGGUGGAAUUCCGGGUGUAGCGGUGGAAUGCGUAGAGAUCCGGAAGAACACCGGUGGCGAAGGCGGUCUGCUGGGGUCGAACUGACGCUGAGGCGCGACAGCGUGGGGAGCAAACAGG